rnacentral:rRNA from 1 species
CCUACGGGCGGCAGCAGUAGGGAAUCUUCCACAAUGGGCGAAAGCCUGAUGGAGCAACGCCGCGUGGGUGAAGAAGGUCUUCGGAUCGUAAAACCCUGUUGUUAGAGAAGAAAGUGCGUGAGAGUAACUGUUCACGUUUCGACGGUAUCUAACCAGAAAGCCACGGCUAACUACGUGCCGGCAGCCGCGGUAAUACGUAGGUGGCAAGAGUUAUCCGGAUUUAUUGGGCGUAAAGGGAACGCAGGCGGUCUUUUCAGUCUGAUGUGAAAGCCUUCGGCUUAACCGGAGUAGUGCAUUGGAAACUGGGAGACUUGAGUGCAGAAGAGGAGAGUGGAACUCCAUGUGUAGCGGUGAAAUGCGUAGAUAUUAGGCGGAACACCAGUGGCGAAGGCGGCUUACUGGACUGUAACUGACGUUGAGGCUCGAAAGCGUGGGGAGCAAACAGGAUUAGAUACCCGGGUAGUC